ACGGAGGGUGCAAGCGUUACUCGGAAUUACUGGGCGUAAAGCGUGCGUAGGUGGUUCGUUAAGUCUGUCGUGAAAGCCCCGGGCUCAACCUGGGAAUGGCGAUGGAUACUGGCGAGCUAGAGUGCGGUAGAGGAGAGUGGAAUUCCCGGUGUAGCAGUGAAAUGCGUAGAGAUCGGGAGGAACAUCAGUGGCGAAGGCGGCCAUCUGGGACAACACUGACGCUGAAGCACGAAAGCGUGGGGAGCAAACAGGA
rnacentral:rRNA from 1 species